GACGAACGCUGGCGGCGUGCCUAACACAUGCAAGUCGAACGAAGCGAUCAAGAUGAAGUUUUCGGAUGAAUUCGAGAUUGACUUAGUGGCGGACUGGUGAGUAACGCGUGAGGAACCUGCCUUUCAGAGGGGGACAACAGUUGGAAACGACUGCUAAUACCGCAUGAAGCAUUCGGGUCGCAUGGCCUGAAUGCCAAAGAUUUUAUCGCUGAAAGAUGGUCUCGCGUCUGAUUAGCUAGUUGGUGAGGUAACGGCUCACCAAGGCGACGAUCAGUAGCCGGUCUGAGAGGAUGAACGGCCACAUUGGGGACUGAGAUACGGCCCAGACUCCUACGGGGAGGCAGCAGUGGGGGAAUAUUGGGCAAUGGGGGAAACCCUGACCCAGCAACGCCGCGUGAAGGAAGAAGGCCUUC
rnacentral:rRNA from 1 species